AUAGCUUUUGAUUGUUUUUUAAAAUCGUAGUUCAAAAACAUUAACCUAAAAUUUACCAUCUUAACCAUUUCAUUUUACUUUCUGUUUCUGCAAAUUUAACUACUCUAGAUGCCUCAUAUAAAUAGAAUUAUAGGGUUUUAAUAUUUUUGUGAUGGGCUUAUUUCACUUUGUGUAAUGUCCUCAAGGUUCAUCCAUGUUGUAGCAUGUGUCAGAAUUUCCUUCCUUUUUGAGUCUGAGCAAUAUUCCAUUAUAUGUUCCAUAUUUUGUUUCUCCAUUCAUCCAGCAACGGACACUUGGGUUGCUUCCACAUCUUGGUUAUUGUGCUGCUCUGAACAUGAGUCUGCAAAUCUCUCUUUGAAGCUUUCACUUUUUUUGGAUACAUAUCCAGAAGAGGGAUGCUGGAUCAUAUGGUAACCCUUUUUAAUUUUCAAGGAACCACCAUAUUGUUUUCUAUAGCAGUUGCACCAGUUUACAUUCCCACCAACAGUGCACAAGGGUUCCUAUUUCUCCACAUCCUUCUAAACACUUGUUUUCUUUCUUUCCUUCCUUCUCUUCUCUUUCUUUCUUAGCCAUCUAAUGUGGCAAAGUGGUAGCCAUCUAAUAUGUUGAAGUGAUUGUUUUUAAGGGCUUGUUUGUGGAUAAUUAACCAGCUGAAAGCUAACUACAGUUUGCCAGUGG
rnacentral:lncRNA from 10 species